AGUAACAAGAAAUGUCAAAAAUACACAAUUUUGAGUACAAAAUAAUCAUUUCAGCAAUAGAUUUGUACAAUUGAGAACUGUGUAAGCAGCAUGCUUUGACUGAAUGAAUAAACUGCAACAUACUUCAAAAUACAUUCAUUUAAAUCCUCCAUACUAAAGAUAUCUGAAAAUAGAACAUGAGGGAAUACAGAUUAGUAAUGACUAUCAUCUCUGGAGAAGAAGAAAAUUAUAAUUCCCCAGUAAAGUCAAGAAGGAUCAGUCUGAGUUUUUAAAAAUCCUUGGUCUUGGUCAAGACCAUUAAAUUGCCUCAGGAGACCCAUUUCUGCCAAUAUGUAUGUGUUUUAACAUCACAAAUCUCAGAGGUUGUGCAGGAUUCUUGGCAGGAUCACAGACAGCAAGACUGAGCAGUUCGGAGGUCUUCAACUUGGUUCUAGGACUUCAGCUGUAAUUAUCAAGGCACUGCUCUCAAGACAGUACAUAGACAAUAGCUCAAAUGAUUAUGUAAACACAUAAUUAUCCUGGGGCUACUUCUACACCACCUUGUUUCUUUUUUUGAACACCCUUUUGUUCACUAUAUGCUUUGAUCACCUCAAAAAACCUGGUAAGUGUGAAUACUGUAUCACUAUGAAAAACACCUCUGAAUUUAGGCCACACAAUACGGGCUUCUUUUCUCUAAGAAUCAGUAGAUGCAGCUUUGACCAGAAACCUUGUUGCAGUCAGUGUAAAUAAACAUUAAUUAUCAAGACAAAUUAGCUGUCUUUGAUGUUUGCAAAGUAUACUUCACAGACAUAUCACUUACAUAUCAGAGAUCAUGAAAAUCCCACAAAACCUUUUUCCCUCCUCCCUCAGGAAUGUAAUUUCACUAAUUUUCCUGUAUUGCUCAUCUUCUUUCCUUCUUGAAUUAUUGUGUUUUACAACAUUCAAAUCACCUGCAUCAUAGAGCUGGAAGACAGCAAAAAUACCUGUUCUUGCCAUUUAGACAAUGCACACUCCCAUUCUGUUACAUUAACUCUAAGCACAAUUUUGCUGCUUUCAGAGAUAAAGAGGUAUGACAGGUUUGAAACAGAAAAUCCAUACUAACCAGGUCAUAAACUUGUGCUGUCAAUGUAAAUGUAAUUGAAAAAUAAAAGCCUUACUGCAAAGACACACUAAAACACUCUGCUUUAUAGUGGAACUCCUUUAGAUCAGAAAAAUCUAUAUCAUCAUCAGUAAAAGUGACAAGGAAGGGAAAGCAUGGUCAUCGAUAACAUCACCACUGCCAGGUGCCUUUACAUGUAACCUAGUCUCAGUUGGUAGCUUUUUUUUUUUAAUUAAUUUACUGAAUUCAAAGUCUUUCCUUUUAUACUCCUAAAAUUUAAAAAAUGACAACAGUUUUACCAAUAGCUGUCAAUGAGAAGAACAGAGCUAACUUAAAUUAGUUCUUUACUGAAGACCUUUAAAAAAACCUGGGGUGUGAACAUUUUGUUGCCCUCAGGAAGCAGCAGUCCCUGGACACCCACAUAGGACAAGGCAUUUCCUUCAUACACAUGUGUACUGUGUGGAUACAUAGAAGUAGAUAAAAUUAUUUUUGCUCCUCUGGUACAACAGCAACAGAGAGGUCCCCAUGUUUUGAAAAACAGAUGGAAGCAAGAGAAGCCUAAACCCCAGCUCUGGCUGUUUUUUGUUGUACAUCAAUCCCUCUGUUCUCAGCCACAGCUCCAAAAAGCUGAUUCUGCAGGCAUUCUUCCCAGUCUCAGAGCAACUGGGGAUAUGGCUGUAAAGCCCAAACCUAAGUCUUAAUUCUACCUAUUUCACAAUAAAUAUUUAUUUAGCUGAUUGGAAAAAAAAAAAAGUCUGAGUUUGGUUUGCUAUCAUCAAGGAAAAUCUUUGUGUCUCCGCUUUCAAAGAGGAUACCAACACAGCCUGACAUUAAUCAGAAAGGUAGUUUGGCAUUUUAGGGAGAGAAGCUGAUGCCUAAUAGAUGAGGACAGCAAGUAAACCCUCGAGGCAGCAGCCACUACAGAGACAAAGAAGUAACGAAAAAUCAAUGUGAAGUAGUAUCAGAGGGAAAAGGGGAAUUUAACUUAUAUCCUCAGCAAACUCCGCUGGCAGACUG